CGCGGCCUAUCAGCUUGUUGGUGGGGUGAUGGCCUACCAAGGCGACGACGGGUAGCCGGCCUGAGAGGGCGACCGGCCACACUGGGACUGAGACACGGCCCAGACUCCUACGGGAGGCAGCAGUGGGGAAUCUUGCGCAAUGGGCGAAAGCCCGACGCAGCGACGCCGCGUGAGGGAUGACGGCCUUCGGGUUGUAAACCUCUUUCAGCCCUGACGAAGCGAAAGUGACGGUAGGGGCAGAAGAAGCACCGGCCAACUACGUGCCAGCAGCCGCGGUAAUACGUAGGGUGCAAGCGUUGUCCGGAAUUAUUGGGCGUAAAGAGCUCGUAGGUGGCCUGUCGCGUCGGCUGUGAAAACUCGGGGCUCAACUCCGAGCUUGCAGUCGAUACGGGCAGGCUAGAGUGCGGCAGGGGAGACUGGAAUUCCUGGUGUAGCGGUGAAAUGCGCAGAUAUCAGGAGGAACACCGGUGGCGAAGGCGGGUCUCUGGGCCGAUACUGACACUGAGGAGCGAAAGCGUGGGGAGCGAACAGGAUUAGAUACCCUGGUAGUCCACGCCGUAAACGUUGGGCGCUAGGUGUGGGAUCCCUUCCACGGGUUCCGUGCCGCAGCUAACGCAUUAAGCGCCCCGCCUGGGGAGUACGG
rnacentral:rRNA from 1 species